UACGAAGGGAGCUAGCGUUGUUCGGAAUCACUGGGCGUAAAGCGCACGUAGGCGGGUUCUUAAGUCAGGGGUGAAAUCCUGGAGCUCAACUCCAGAACUGCCUUUGAUACUGGGAAUCUCGAGUCCGGGAGAGGUGAGUGGAACUGCGAGUGUAGUGGUGGAAUGCGUAGAUAUCGGGAGGAACACCAGUGGCGGAAGGCGGUUGCCUGGGGCUUUGCUGACGCUGAUGCGCGAAAGCGUGGGGAGC
rnacentral:rRNA from 1 species